CCAUUUAAAGUGGUACGCGAGCUGGGUUUAGAACGUCGUGAGACAGUUCGGUCCCUAUCUGCCGUGGGCGCUGGAGAACUGAGGGGGGCUGCUCCUAGUACGAGAGGACCGGAGUGGACGCAUCACUGGUGUUCGGGUUGUCAUGCCAAUGGCACUGCCCGGUAGCUAAAUGCGGAAGAGAUAAGUGCUGAAAGCAUCUAAGCACGAAACUUGCCCCGAGAUGAGUUCUCCCUGAGACUUAAAGUCUCCUGAAGGAACGUUGAAGACGACGACGUUGAUAGGCCGGGUGUGUAAGCGCAGCGAUGCGUUGAGCUAACCGGUACUAAUGAACCGUGAGGCUUAACCUUACA
rnacentral:rRNA from 1 species